rnacentral:lncRNA from 1 species
GACAAUUGGGAAAAAGCGAUUUAUUGAUUUUUAUAUUUCAGAAUUGAUAUUAAACAUAGAAAUCUUGAGACUUCCAUUUCUUUAUUUUUGUGAUAUCAGAUAUAUCCCAUGUCACAUUUAUUCAGCGGCUCCAAAAUCAGUUAUUUCAUGACUCUGUAAAUACAGUUGUGUUCUAUUUGUUCAUCUGAAUAUAUAUAUGAUUUGAAUUGCAAUUUGAAUUACUUAUGGUUUUAUGCAAUCAGUGGGAUAUGCAGAUGAUUGUGCACUGAGCUCUGUGUUAAUAUAAAGAGAGCACUGCAAUCAUCUACACAGGAGUUAUCCUGAGUGUCUAGCUGUUGUCUUCUCCUGGGAUCAGCUCUUUGCCUUCCUGUAAAAUGUGAUGUACUAAUGCAUCCUCUGCACUGAUAUUUCACUCUGUAUGGUAUGGGGAAAAGUUGGGGAGCAGAAAAGUUUUUGCAAAUUGAUUGCAUGUAAAAAUCUAUAUUUCCAAGGUAUAUUUUAUUGAUCCAAUUCAGUCAAAGUUUGCCCAAUGCUAUAAAAUUUCGAAUACUGAAAUGCAAACUGAUGGUUUUAGUUCAGGUACCUUUGCCCUGCUGUGAAUGUUUCUACUGAGAACUGAGAGCUGUAUAUGAAAAUGUGAUGGUCUGGUAUCUCCAGGGAAAGAGGGGGAUAUGUUCGUUCUCUGCACAGAGCUAGGCAAGAUGCCUGGAACAAUUAGAUUAAAUGGAUGUACAAAGAAUAUAAUGUUUAAUUACUUCUGUGUCUUUUUUGAAGGGUCUGCAAGAAAUCUUUUCUUUACGUAAAGAAAUAACUAUGGUAGUUGGAAUCCUGCCAUUUGGAAAUAUUCUAAUCUUUAUACUAAAUAAGCAUUCGGGUUUUCUUUGAGAUUAAGCCUUUAAAUCUUCAAAUCAAACCUCGAGAUAUGCCUUCAAAAAAGGGAAAAGAGAGCUCAUAUGUACAUCUCCAUGCACUGUAAAAGAGCCUCAGUUCCACCCCAAAUGCUAACUUCAAGCUAGGAAAAAAAAAAUAAAAAAGAUAUUUUAUGAAAUCCUUGAGCACAAACCGGUUCCAGUCUCGGGGGAGAGCUCUGGUGAAGCUCAGGGUAAUUGUGCAUGAAGCAGUGACCAAUGGGUACCUGAGGACUAAGUUAGAUACUCCCAGCCAAUUCAACAUCUGUGAUAGUGAGGAUGAAGAUGACUUCUGCCCUUUGUUGGUGUUUAUUAUUUGCCUUGCUCAUGUAAAGUUUUCCAGUGAAAAGCACCCAGCA